UGGCGUAAACAAAGGGAAGCGAGCCUGUGAAGGGGAGCAAAUCCCAAAAAUAACGUCCCAGUUCGGAUUGUAGUCUGCAACCCGACUACAUGAAGCUGGAAUCGCUAGUAAUCGCGGAUCAGAAUGCCGCGGUGAAUACGUUCCCGGGUCUUGUACACACCGCCCGCCACACCAUGGGAGUCGGAAAUGCCCGAAGUCUGUGACCUAACCGUAAGGAAGGAGCAGCCGAAGGCAGGUCGGAUGACUGGGGUGAAGUCGUAACAAGGUACC
rnacentral:rRNA from 1 species